GCACAACGGCAGGGGAGCCCGAAUGGGCUGAGAGUGCGGAACACCGCAGACCCUCGAACCUGACCCGGUUAGCACCGGCGUAGGAAGUCGAUUCCCUCCCCGC
rnacentral:ncRNA from 2 species